UUACACCGCCCCUAAACGUUUACGCUACACGGUGAGACAGGCUAUAGCUUGUGACGGGUUCACAUCUCAAAUAACUCCCCAGAAGGCUACGACUGGUAAUGUUCUUUAUGUCGAUUUGGAAAAUAGGCUUGCUUAUUCUACAUUAAAGUAGCAACUUAUUUUGCUUUCUGUCGACCAUGUCUUCUCUCGGUCAGUAAUGGAGGAUUUUCCCGGAGUGGUGGUGGGGAGGUUCCACAGAAGGAGGAAGCGAACGUUUAGAGGCAGCUGUAAGCAACCAGCUGACUAUGGACGGGAGAUCUGCUUUCGGUCUUCAACGAAGGGGAAUGGUGGCCAGGGAACAUUACUACCAAAUGAACCACUCGACAAAGCCACACUACCAACAUUGAGCUGGAAUUGAAACCUGCCUCCGCCUUAAAUCUCUAUCGGCCGACUCUUGUGAGGGGCCAAAGAGGGAUACAUAUUACGCUUUAUAAUAAAUUCAAUUGUUGGGCAUAGUCCUCAGAGACCCGUUUCCAUGCUUUAAUCGUUUUAGUAUCGAAGCGGACAACCAUAAUCAAACCGAAAAAGCAGGACAUUCUUGCGCGAGGCGUAACCGAUUUCGGAUAUGUGAUGUCGACUCUGCAGUCAGCACCCCGCCUGUUGUUUACCCGUUCUUGGUGAUAUAGUACGCACGAAAGGGGAUACAAUUAUCGCUGGUCUAAUGAUGCGUUUAAAACAGUGGUUGGACAUAGUUAGCUAGUGUCCCAAUAAAUCAGUGCAGUUUACGGGAAAUUUAAAAGUAAUAUCCUGGUAUGUGAAGAUGGUUUGGGGGGUCCACAAACUCCAACCGAGCCAACGACCGCGCUAGCUAGCUGCAACCGCACUACGCUGGUUCAAUGCAAUGGUUAGCUAGCUCGCUAGCUAUAUUAUGUUAGCAACCAUCAGAUUUACAUUAAUUUACAGCAAUAUAUUAGCCAACACGGUGGCCACCUGUGAAAAGAAUCAAAUGACAAACUAUACAUUUGAAGGUUUAAAAAUGUGUAGUAGUUAGCUACUGUAAAUUUAAAAUAUGAAAACCACCAGCAGACCAGUCAACUUUUAUGCUAGCUUGCUAAAGCUUGGCUAACUUCAGGGGAUUCAACAUGGAAAAUGAUUUACGUUUUUAUUUUGUAUAUACAUUUACAUCAAUAUUGCAGGUACCAUUAACUAGAUACAUGCAUUUGUAAUUGGUCGUCCAAAAGAUUACGUAUCGGCCUAACGUUACUAGUUUUGCAUAAACCCAUAGGAAAAAAUCCAGUUCCAAACGACUGCGACCCGAACACUGACCUCGUCUCCAUGAAAGAGAAUCAUGUUUAGAAAAUCAUUCAUCUCAGGCAGACAAAUUCACUGUUGUGUUUCUUGAAAAACAACGAUUUAAAUGAACAAACUCACCGUGAAACGGUUCUAUCCACCCUGAAUUUUCUUUCAGCUGUUGUUGAACACGGGGUAAACCAGGUUUUGUAGCCGUGUGGCGAGGAUGGGUCAUGAAGACUGAGGCACACGAAUGAAGAAAAAGGGGAAUAAAUGUUUGGGGGCGUAAUCCAGCCAUCCAAUCCAGACAGCCAGAUCCAAUGAAAACAAAUGACUUUCCAAUGAGCGCACAGCAUCGUUAAACCGCGUUGGAGUGGUGCUCCUGUGGACCAGCACUGUCAGCCCUCCUACCAUUGAUGAAUGAAGUGAUGGAAUGUCUCAAAAAAGAAAUUAAAGGGUUUAAAAUGUC